AUUGAACGCUGGCGGCAUGCCUUACACAUGCAAGUCGAACGGUAACAGGUCUUCGGACGCUGACGAGUGGCGAACGGGUGAGUAAUACAUCGGAACGUGCCCAGUCGUGGGGGAUAACUACUCGAAAGAGUAGCUAAUACCGCAUACGAUCUGAGGAUGAAAGCGGGGGACCUUCGGGCCUCGCGCGAUUGGAGCGGCCGAUGGCAGAUUAGGUAGUUGGUGGGAUAAAAGCUUACCAAGCCGACGAUCUGUAGCUGGUCUGAGAGGACGACCAGCCACACUGGGACUGAGACACGGCCCAGACUCCUACGGGAGUCAGCAGUGGGGGAUUUUGGACAAUGGGCGCAAGCCUGAUCCAGCCAUGCCGCGUGCAGGAUGAAGGCCUUCGGGUUGUAAACUGCUUUUGUACGGAACGAAAAGGUUUGACUUAAUACGUUGGACUCAUGACGGUACCGUAAGAAUAAGCACCGGCUAACUACGUGCCAGCCGCCGCAGUAA
rnacentral:rRNA from 1 species